GCUCGGGGAGGUAGUGACGAAAAAUAACAAUACAGGACUCAUUUUAGAGGCAUUGUAAUUGGAAUGAGUACACUUUAAAUCCUUUAACAAGGACCUAUUGGAGGGCAAGCCUAGUGCCAGCAGCCGCGGUAACUCUAGCUCCAAUAGCGUAUAUUAAAGUUGUUGCGGUUAAAACGUUCGUAGUUGAAUUUGUGCUUCAUACAGUUAGUAUCGAUUAUAAAUGUAGUCGAUUACAAACUUGACGUAUGUAAGCGUAUUACCGGUGGGAGGUCAAUAUUUGUAUAUUUGUGUUGGAAGCGGUGUGGCGGUCGUCCUCGUUGUUGCGAAUGCCUUGUCAUUUCGAUGGCAUUGCAUCCCGUAAUCUCGCUGUGGCGUCGUCACCCAUCUAACCGGUGUGCAGAUAUACUCCUAAUUUUCUUUUUUUAUAAAAAGAAAAAGAAAAACCCAUUUCGGUGCUCUUUAUCGGGUGUUGAUGUGGGCCGGUACAAUUACUUUGAACAAAUUAGAGUGCUUCAAGCAGGCUAUGAAAUGCCUGAAUAUUUUGUGCAUGGAAUAAUGAAAUAAGACCUCUGUUCUACUUUCAUUGGUUUUUAGAUCGAAAGAGGUAAUGAUUAAUAGAAGCAGUUUGGGGGCAUUAGUAUUACGACGCGAGAGGUGAAAUUCUUGGACCGUCGUAAGACUAACUUAAGCGAAAGCAUUUGCCAAAGAUGUUUUCAUUAAUCAAGAACGAAAGUUAGAGGUUCGAAGGCGAUCAGAUACCGCCCUAGUUCUAACCAUAAACGAUGCCAGCUAGCAAUUGGGUGUAGCUAAGAUUAUGGCUCUCUCA
rnacentral:rRNA from 1 species